rnacentral:rRNA from 1 species
GUCUACGGCCAUGCCACCCUGAACAAGCUCGAUCCCAUGUGAUCUCAGAAGCUAAGCAGGGUCGGGCUUGGUUAGUACUUGGAUGGGAGACCACCUAGGAAGACGAGGUGCUGUAGGCA